GAUGAAGAACGCAGCGAAAUGCGAUACUUGGUGUGAAUUGCAGAAUCCCGUGAACCAUCGAGUCUUUGAACGCAAGUUGCGCCCGAAGCCAUCAGGUUGAGGGCACGUCUGCCUGGGCGUCACAUAUCGUUGCCCAAUGCCUAUUGCAGUGCAAUAGGAAUUUCUAGGGCGAAUGAUGGCUUCCCGUGAGCGUUGUUGCCUCGCGGUUGGUUGAAAAUCGAGUCCUUGGUAGGGUGUGCCAUGGUAGAUGGUGGUCGAGUUAGAACGAUACCGAUCAUGUGCAUGCUCCCCAAAAUAUGGCCUCUAUGUCCCACACGCGUCUUUUGACGCUCAUGACGAGACCUCAGGUCAGGCGGGGCUACCCGCUGAAUUUAAGCAUAUCAAUAAGCGGAGGA
rnacentral:misc_RNA from 1 species